rnacentral:rRNA from 1 species
UACGUAGGGUGCGAGCGUUGUCCGGAAUUAUUGGGCGUAAAGAGCUUGUAGGCGGUUUGUCGCGUCUGCCGUGAAAAUUCGAGGCUCAACCUCGAACUUGCGGUGGGUACGGGCAGACUAGAGUGUGGUAGGGGAGACUGGAAUUCCUGGUGUAGCGGUGAAAUGCGCAGAUAUCAGGAGGAACACCGGUGGCGAAGGCGGUUCUCUGGACAUUACCUGACGCUGAGGAGCGAAAGUGUGGGGAGCGAACAGG